CCUACGGGUGGCAGCAGUGGGGAAUAUUGCACAAUGGGGGAAACCCUGAUGCAGCGACGCCGCGUGAGCGAUGAAGUAUUUCGGUAUGUAAAGCUCUAUCAGCAGGGAAGUAAAUGACGGUACCUGACUAAGAUGCCCCGGCUAACUACGUGCCAGCUGCCGCGGUAAUACGUAGGGGGCCAGCGUUAUCCGGAUUUACUGGGUGUAAAGGGAGCGUAGACGGCGGUGCAGGUCAGAUGUGAAAGCCCGGGGCGCAACCCCGGGACUGCAUUUGGAACUGUGCUGCUAGAGUGUCGGAGAGGCAGGCGGAAUGCCUAGUGUAGCGGUGAAAUGCGUAGAUAUUAGGAGGAACACCAGUGGCGAAGGCGGCCUGCUGGACGAUGACUGACGUUGAGGCUCGAAAGCGUGGGGAGCAAACAGGAUUAGAUACCCGGGUAGUC
rnacentral:rRNA from 1 species